UACGUAGGGUGCAAGCGUUGUCCGGAAUUAUUGGGCGUAAAGGGUGCGUAGGCGGUUUGGUAAGUCUUAUGUGAAAUCUACAGGCUCAACUUGUAGUCUGCAUGAGAAACUGCCGGGCUUGAGUAUGGGAGAGGUGAGUGGAAUUCCUGGUGUAGCGGUGAAAUGCGUAGAUAUCAGGAGGAACACCAGUGGCGAAGGCGGCUCACUGGCCCGGUACUGACGCUGAGGUGCGAAAGCGUGGGGAGCAAACAGG
rnacentral:rRNA from 1 species